UACAGAGGGUGCGAGCGUUAAUCGGAAUUACUGGGCGUAAAGCGUGCGUAGACGGUUAUUUAAGUCGGGUGUGAAAGCCCCGGGCUCAACCUGGGAAUUGCAUUCGAGACUGAAUAGCUAGGGUACGGUAGAGGGAAGUGGAAUUUCCGGUGUAGCGGUGAAAUGCGUAGAUAUCGGAAGGAACAUCAGUGGCGAAAGCGACUUCCUGGACCAGUACCGACGUCAGGCACGAAAGCGUGGGGAGCAAACAGGGA
rnacentral:rRNA from 1 species